rnacentral:sRNA from 1 species
GGAUGUGAGGGUGAUCUAGCUGCAGCACCUGUGACUCCAUCAAUCACUGGGGUUGAUUUGGCAGAUCUGGCUAGCUAGGUGGGCAUCCUUUUCCUCCCUUACCACUCCAUGUUUUUACCCCUGAAGCAAUGCACUUGGUGGAUUUUACAAGUAGCCUCCACAUUUCCUGGACAGCCUGGUUGACCACAGUGACCCACACUCUUGCAGUCUCCAGGUUAGACUACUGCAAUACAUU